UACGUAGGGGGCAAGCGUUGUCCGGAAUCAUUGGGCGUAAAGAGCGUGUAGGCGGCUCGGUAAGUCCGCUGUGAAAGUCCAGGGCUCAACCCUGGAAUGCCGGUGGAAACUGUCGAGCUAGAGUCCGGAAGAGGCGAGUGGAAUUCCUGGUGUAGCGGUGAAAUGCGCAGAUAUCAGGAAGAACACCCGUGGCUAAGGCGGCUCUCUAGUACGGUACUGACGCUGAGACGCGAAAGCGUGGGGAGCGAACAGG
rnacentral:rRNA from 1 species